UUGAAGGAUUUUAUGGAACUGUGCAACUGGCAAGAAAAAAAGCCGAAAACAGCAACUGCACUUCUACUGAAGAGAAUGUUUUUCGUGGGAAAGGUCAGCGAAAAAAAAAAAGAAAGCUUUUGACCAGCGACAACAGUGAAAGUUCUGAAGAUUUAGAAUCAAAAUGUUAUAAGCCUCCUCCACAAUUAAAUAAGAAAAGCAAUGUGAUUAAGCAAAAUUACAAAAUUUCAACACUUAAUGUAUCACAUGACAAGCUACCGGACUCUAUUCUGUCUUCUUCAACAACAGAUAUUUGCAAUGGAGAAUUUUCUUGUACAGAUGUACUAGUUAAUGAAAACAAUCAGAAUAGCAAUGUCAUAACAUUGAACGAGAUUCCUGUUGUAAUAGCGUCUAAUUCAACAUAUACACCACCAGCUUUUGAAA